rnacentral:rRNA from 1 species
UGGGGAAUCUUGCACAAUGGAGGCAACUCUGAUGCAGCGACGCCGCGUGAGCGAUGAAGCCCUUCGGGGUGUAAAGCUCUUUCGGCAGGGACGAUAAUGACGGUACCUGAAGAAGAAGCUGCGGCUAACUACGUGCCAGCAGCCGCGGUAAUACGUAGGCAGCGAGCGUUGUUCGGAAUUACUGGGCGUAAAGAGUGUGUAGGCGGUGCUCUAAGUUCGGUGUGAAAUCUCCUGGCUCAACUGGGAGGGUGCGCCGGAAACUGGAGUGCUUGAGCGUGGGAGAGGAAAGCGGAAUUCCUGGUGUAGCGGUGAAAUGCGUAGAUAUCAGGAGGAACACCUGUGGUGUAGACGGCUUUCUGGACCAUAGCUGACGCUGAGACGCGAAAGCGUGGGUAGCAAACAGGAUUAGAUACCCUGGUAGUCCACGCCCUAAACGAUGCAUACUUGGUGUCGGCCAUUCAGUUGGUCGGUGCCGGAGCUAACGCGUUAAGUAUGCCGCCUGGGGAGUACGGUCGCAAGGCUGC